GAUCUCCUCCUGCCCCAAUCACACAUAUCCUCUCUGCUCCCUGCUUUCCACUCAGCCCCCCAAGUCCCUGCGUGCUGUUCACCCCUUCCCAAGGACACUGCUGUGCCUCCCUCCAGCAAGGUCCCAUCUUUCCCACCUUACUCUUCCCCCAGAUAGUGCACCCAGCCUUCCAGUACAGCAUACAGCUUUCUCUGCUGCACAUUGGACUAGACAGUAACUAAAGCCUUCCAGCCUUAAAGCCUGUGGCUGAAUACAGUGGUAUCCAUAGAGAGAAGAAAAUGAACCCUGGAAUUUCAGAGCAUUUCCCUGCGCUGGUCUUACAGGGCUGAUCUACUACCCUUAACAAAUAACUAGAGAAGUAAAAGAAUGUUAUGUUCUUCAGCCUGGCCCAAGCACAUGUGGAAUGUCACCAGUCUGAAGUUGGAAGUGACUGGACUACAUUGCAAGACCUUUGGAGAAUUUGAUAUUGACAUAUAUUUUAUGAUAGCAUCAAGAUUCCCAAUCACAUGUGCUCACUGCAAAAGCCUUUUUCGUUCACAUAA